rnacentral:lncRNA from 1 species
CGACACUUAUGGACCAUUUUGUACUAGUGUGUCAAACAAAAAGUUCAGCAACAUCAAUCGAGAUUCUUACAUGGAGAGCACCUUGCUUUCAAAUAUCUAAUGACCUGUGAAACAAACAAAGUUCCUGCAUAAAAGAAUCCAUUCACUAGCGUACCACUGUGAAACAUGAGCACAGGCAACUUGUCGUCUCCAUCAUCCCUCAGACUCUGGCUUCACGGUACCCAUCCACGGCAAAAUCUCCCGCUCCCUGGUUUCUGAUGAAACGACAGCAACACGAACCGCCCGCUCGCGCGAUUUACGGUGGCAGGCACAGACCGCACGAAACGACCCCUGAUCCUCUUCUCGGAGGAGACAAUGGAUGUGGAGCUCAUGGGGAGCCGCCACGGGAGAUCCAGUGCCUGCGUGAACGGGUGGCAUCUCCUGCCCGGGGGAGGGACCGUUGUUGUCUUCUGGGAGUCGAGUGAGGAAGAGAUCAGCGCUGCGAACUACGGCGGCGAGGUCAGAUCAGGAUCGGAGUGGCGGCGAAGGGGAAAGACGUAGGCGAUGAAGAGCCCAAGGAAUGGGGACGGGUGGAGCGCCCGGAAACGGCGGCGCAAGGCGGCGGACGAACGGACGGCGUGGAGGAAGGCGCGGCAGGCGAGGGCGGCGCGGACGAGGCUUGGGAGGGAGGGGGAGGCGGACGAAGAUCUCGGACAAUUAAAUUAGUCCCACACGGCUAAGCUAAGGAGGUUUGCGCCUAUUUAUAAUGUGGCUUCUGGUCCUGUAGAUCACCACCUGGCAUAUGUGGUAAGCUAAAAUCCAAUCGUUAAACAUAAGAUACUCCGUGAUAUGAUAUGAGUGUGCUUUAGAUGCUCAAGACUCAACCUAGUCAUACAUGUGGCGACUGGUUGGAGUCAUCUAGAUAGAUGUAGGAUAGGACUCAACCAGUCAACCUUAGCUCUGCCCA